GCCUCACUGCGCGCUCGGUGCGGCAGCCUCACUGCACGUGUGGCAGCCUUUCUGCGCGCUCGGUUUCUGAUUCUGCUCGCUCGGCUGUUGGGAGUUUUGGCACUCUGGAGGCGUGGAAGAAUUAAAGUGCCAGAAACUGAGCAGUUGAACUUUCAAUUUGAGAGCAGAAUUUCAUAUCAAGAGACCAUCUUUUUAAUUUCAGAAUACUAUUUUAUAUUAUUGCUCUCAAAACUUGUAAUGCUUGCGCUCAAAAUGUCUGCUCUCUUUCAAAUUCACUCUGUUCUCCUUCAAAUCUUUGUUUUUGCGCUCAGAUUUAACCUUCUUACACUGGUAUUGUCUUCUCAUGUGACAACUUUUUCUCUACACGGAUCAAAACUCCUCCCACAAGUCUGUCCCCUGCUCUCACGGAUCUUGUCUGCUCUCGCUCAAAACUUAGAAGUACAAUCUCCUAGCAACCGCUCAGCCAAUAGAAAGACUUGUGGGACUGGGCGGGAACAAACCUCUUUGGGGUGCGCUCGUUUUGCGCUCUGUGGACUUUCCUGUGUGGCUGCCGCAUCUGCGCACUAACAGCCUGGCUAAUACCCGCUCUGAUCUGGAGCGAGAGUUUCACCUGCACCAGCAAAAUGGACCAGAACCAACAAGACGCUCAAACUGGUUCCAUCCGAGAAGUUACGAGAAACCUUAUGGAUUUACUGAAUGCUCAUCUACAAGCAGAGGGCCCGCAACAAACACCAACUGUGCCACAGCGCACAACACCAGCGACAACACCUUAACAGACUAUCCCUCGGUCUACAGUUCAUCAAGAAAUGUCAAGGAUUUCCAAGAGCCAGACAUCGACUGGGAUGUUGCUGCAGAGUACAGCCCAGAUGUGGACGGUGCUGCUGUGGUCCCGGAGUUCGACAGUCCCCUCACUGAAGAGCAGCAUGCUGAACUGCAUCCAUGCUUUUGUU